CAUUAUCGAAUAAACUUGAUCAGGUUGUUGCUGGCCUUUCAAAGGCAUGUGCACACUUGUCAUCUUUAUUUCUCCAACUGUGCACAUAUUGUAGACCAUGAAUGUUGUUGCUAAUAGCAGAUUUGAGAAGUGCUCAGCUUUCUCUUAUGCAGGUCUAUGUUAUCCAUCUUUUACACACUGUUUUAGAAUGUUUAUUUUGGGAAAUACAAAUGUACAACUUUCAGCAACGGAUCUCUUGGUUCUCGCAUCGAUGAAGAACGCAGCGAAAUGCGAUAAGUAAUGUGAAUUGCAGAAUUCAGUGAAUCAUCGAAUCUUUGAACGCAACUUGCGCUCCUUGGUACUCCGAGGAGCAUGCCUGUUUGAGUGUCAUUAAACUUCUUCUCAACCCAUCCAGUUUCUCUGUGUGUGGGCUUUGGACAAUGGGGGCUUGCUGGUUGCUAUUUUUCCAGCUCUCCUGAAAAGCAUUAGCGGCAUCUGGGCUGCUUGCAGGUGUGAUAACUCGUCUACACCUUUGCAGUGGCUGCAUUUGUGCUGCUUUAGAGGGCAUUGAUGAAAUUUGACCUCAAAUCAGGUAGGACUACCCGCUGAACUU
rnacentral:rRNA from 1 species